rnacentral:ncRNA from 1 species
AAACGAGUUUUUAUCUAAGUAAUGUGAAAUGUAAAUUAAGAAAAUAAAGUACACAAGUGUAAAUGUGUACUUGUUUUUAUCUAAGUAAUGUGAAAUGUAAAUGUUUCUGGAUUGAUUCCUAAAUACAUUUUGAAUAACCGUUUUUAUCUAAGUAAUGUGAAAUGUAAAUCAAUUACAAUCGUUCCACAUGCGGUACCUAUCGCGUUUUUAUCUAAGUAAUGUGA